CUGCCGUGCAGCUGAAGGUGCCGCGGGGCGCAGGGCGCGAGGAGGCGCAGGGCGCGAGGAGCGGCUGCGGGACCGGAAGGCUCGCCGCGUGCACGCCGCAGGCCUCCAGCUCCCUGGACGGAAGGCGUUUAGAGAGAAAGAGAGCUGUUAAAGCCCGCGGUGGCUGGGAUUUACCUCAGGUCGGAAACGGGGGGGGGUUCUAAUAACAAGUGACGUCAUCAGUGAAGAGACAUUACCUGCAUCGCAUCACAUGCAGAGAACGUUUACUCAAGCAGAACGGUUCCUGGAAUAAAACAUAUUUCACAAUCAUAUGAAAAACCCAAACGGGGGGGGGGGGGUAGAAAGCCCCGAGAGACCCCCAAAUAGCCCACGACCACCUUCUCCUCUCCAGACACACAACCUGCUCUUCUGCCAGCAUUCCUCGCUGUCCGACUCAAACCAGAGAGCGUGGAGCUGUGCAGAUGAGAGGGAAGGCCACUCAAACAUGCAGGGAAUGGAGGGAAGAAGCCAUACCAGGAGUCGGCGUUAGGGAACUUUCAGUGAUUUCUUUAGAUUUCGAUGCACACAUUAACAAAUGCACAAACUCAGACCAGCUGACUGUCAAUUAUUGGGCUUCUCAUGUGCUGAACUGUGAAACGCUCAGAUUCCACCGACAAAAUCGUCUCACACGCCACAUUUAAUGCAACGCGUACGUUUGGGCACGCUUCCCAAGUCACGCGUUCCCACCCGGUUCUAAUUUGAACGACGCUCUCUAGAGUGAUGCUGCGACCGAGGGACGCUGAACGCAGCGGGAGACGUCCGUACCUCCGCCGCUAGAGGGCGCUGUUGGCUCUGAUUCCCGCCUGCACCGCUGCAGGAAGCCCGGAGGCUGGAGACGCCGAUCAGAGGACGCUUCUCCGGCGCGCGGAGACACGUGGAGCCGCCUGCGGGUCGCGGUUUGUGCGCACGACUGCAAAGAAUACAAGACUGGUGAUGCAUCCGCACCCGUCAGAAGUCAGGAGGCCUGUGUUUGCUCCAGGGAUUACAUUACCACACCACAGAGCUGCCAGACAGACCCGCUGCACCACCACCCAAGGGAUCCAUGCUGCAGCUCACGCGAAAUUUAUUGCCGGUGAACCCCUUCGGCUCAGCCCUGCCUCCAUGCGCGCCUGUUGGUGUUCUCUUCCUCACUCGCUUCCUGGUUCUGAGGUCCGCGUGCGUCCGACAGCAGGGUUCAGCUGCUCGGACCGACUCAUCACCGUUGACGUCGGUAGAGUACUCGCUAAAGUAGUCACUCGUUGCUGCAGGAGGAAAGGUGCGUUUGGCUUCACAAGUAACUGUGUGAAUGUGUGACUUAUUCAGGACAAACUGUCUCUUUUCCCUUUUGUAUAUAAUGUUUGAAUAAAUAAUGACAGUUAGGGAAUUUCCUGAGGUUC
rnacentral:lncRNA from 1 species